rnacentral:rRNA from 1 species
UGAAGGUCAGGCUGAAGACCUUACCCGAUUAGCUGAGAGGUGGUGCAUGGCCGUCGUCAGUUCGUACUGUGAAGCAUCCCUGUUAAGUCAGGCAACGAGCGAGACCCACGUCCACAGUUGCCAGCAUACCCUCCGGGGUGAUGGGUACACUGUGGAGACCGCCGCUGCUAAAGCGGAGGAAGGAGUGGGCAACGGUAGGUCAGUAUGCCCCGAAUCUCCCGGGCUACACGCGGGCUACAAUGGUUGGUACAAUGGGCAUCUACCCCGAAAGGGGAAGGAAAUCUCUUAAAGCCAAUCGUAGUUCGGAUUGAGGGCUGCAACUCGCCCUCAUGAAGCUGGAAUCCGUAGUAAUCGCGUUUCAACAGAACGCGGUGAAUACGUCCCUGCUCCUU